UACGGGGGGGGGCAAGCGUUGUUCGGAAUUACUGGGCGUAAAGGGCUCGUAGGCGGCCAACUAAGUCAGACGUGAAAUCCCCCCGGCUUAACCAGGGAACUGCGUCUGAUACUGGAUGGCUUGAGUUUGGGGAGAGGGAUGCGGAAUUCCAGGUGUAGCGGUGAAAUGCGUAGAUAUCUGGAGGAACACCGGUGGCGAAGGCGACAUCCUGGACCAACACUGACGCUGAGUGAGCGAAAGCCAGGGGAGCAAACGGG
rnacentral:rRNA from 1 species